CGGAUCGCAGGCUGCAACCCGCCUGCGUGAAGUUGGAAUUGCUAGUAAUCGCGGAUCAGCAUGCCGCGGUGAAUACGUUCCCGGGCCUUGUACACACCGCCCGUCACACCAUGGGAGCCGGUAAUACCCGAAGUUAGUAGCCUAACCGCAAGGGGGGCGCUGCCGAAGGUAGGAUUGGCGACUGGGGUGAAGUCGUAACAAGGUAAC
rnacentral:rRNA from 1 species